CCUACGGGAAGCAGCAGUGGGGAAUUUUGGACAAUGGGCGAAAGCCUGAUCCAGCCAUGCCGCGUGCGGGAAGAAGGCCUUCGGGUUGUAAACCGCUUUUGUCAGGGAAGAAACGGUCUGGGUUAAUACCCUGGGCUAAUGACGGUACCUGAAGAAUAAGCACCGGCUAACUACGUGCCAGCAGCCGCGGUAAUACGUAGGGUGCAAGCGUUAAUCGGAAUUACUGGGCGUAAAGCGUGCGCAGGCGGUCCUAUAAGACAGAUGUGAAAUCCCCGGGCUCAACCUGGGAACUGCAUUUGUGACUGUAGGGCUUGAGUACGGUAGAGGGGGAUGGAAUUCCGCGUGUAGCAGUGAAAUGCGUAGAUAUGCGGAGGAACACCGAUGGCGAAGGCAAUCCCCUGGACCUGUACUGACGCUCAUGCACGAAAGCGUGGGGAGCAAACAGGAUUAGAUACCCUGGUAGUCCACGCCCUAAACGAUGUCAACUGGUUGUUGGAAAGGUUCCUUUUCAGUAACGAAGCUAACGCGUGAAGUUGACCGCCUGGGGAGGUACGGCCGCGAGUAGAACGACAAUAGUAGUUAGAGUCGUUGAGACGUUGCCGACGGCGACGACGAGGGAGGAGG
rnacentral:rRNA from 1 species